rnacentral:rRNA from 1 species
AAUGAACGUUGGCGGCGUGGAUUAGGCAUGCAAGUCGAGCGAGAACCCCGCAAGGGGGGACAGCGGCGAAAGGGACAGUAAUGUGUAGAUUAUCUGCCCUCAGGUCCGGGAUAGCUGCGGGAAACUGCAGGUAAUACCGGAUAACAUCUCCGGAUCAAAGGUGUGAUUCCGCCUGAGGAUGAGUCUGCAUCCUAUUAGCUAGUUGGUGGGGUAAUGGCCUACCAAGGCAUUGAUGGGUAGCAGGUGUGAGAGCACGACCUGCGUCAUUGGGACUGAGACACUGCCCAGACACCUACGGGUGGCUGCAGGCGAGAAUCUUCGGCAAUGGGCGCAAGCCUGACCGAGCGACGCCGCGUGUGGGAUGAAGGCCUUCGGGUUGUAAACCACUGUCAGAGGGGAUGAAAUGCAGGUGGGUUCUCCCAUCUGUUUGACAUAGCCUCAGAGGAAGAACGGGCUAAGUUCGUG